CCCCCAUUUUGGAAUUUAACUUCUGAUUUUCUGUCUAAUUUUUGGUGUCCUCUUAUUUCUGUGUUUUGUUUGAUUUAUGAAAUCAACAAUGUUCUUGCGAAACUACGAUAGGAAUCAAUCUGCAUUUUAUAUGAUUUGAUGCGAACUAUGUGUGCAUCAGAUAGUACUGAACGACUGAUCUCUACAAUCAUUUUACUCUCUGAAUAUGUCAAGUUUUUUAACAUUGG
rnacentral:lncRNA from 1 species